CCUACGGGUGGCAGCAGUGAGGAAUAUUGGUCAAUGGCCGAGAGGCUGAACCAGCCAAGUCGCGUGAGGGAAGACGGCCCUACGGGUUGUAAACUUCUUUUGUCGGGGAGCAAAGCGAGUCUCGUGUGCCUCAUUGAGAGUACCCGACGAAAAAGCAUAGGAAAAGCCCACGCCGGCACCCGCGGUAAUACGGAGGAUGCGAGCGUUAUCGGGAUUUGUGGGGGUAAAGGGGUGCGCGGCGGGAGGUGCAGGUCAGCGGGAAAAUUGCGGGGCUAAACCCCGUACUGCCGUUGAAACUGCAUCCCUGGAGUGCGCGAGAGGAAAGCGGAAUGUGUGGUGUAGCGGUGAAAUGCAUAGAUAUCACGAAGAACUCCGAUUGCGAAGGC
rnacentral:rRNA from 1 species